rnacentral:rRNA from 1 species
UGGGGAAUAUUGGACAAUGGGCGCAAGCCUGAUCCAGCCAUGCCGCGUGAGUGAAGAAGGCCCUAGGGUUGUAAAGCUCUUUCAGCAGGGAAGAUGAUGACGGUACCUGCAGAAGAAGCCCCGGCUAACUCCGUGCCAGCAGCCGCGGUAAUACGGAGGGGGCUAGCGUUGUUCGGAAUUACUGGGCGUAAAGGGCAUGUAGGCGGAUCGGCCAGUCAGAGGUGAAAGCCCCGGGCUCAACCCGGGAACUGCCUUUGAUACUGCCGAUCUAGAGUCCGGGAGAGGAUAGUGGAAUUCCCAGUGUAGAGGUGAAAUUCGUAGAUAUUGGGAAGAACACCAGUGGCGAAGGCGGCUAUCUGGACCGGUACUGACGCUAAGGUGCGAAAGCGUGGGGAGCAAACAGGAUUAGAUACCCCCGUAGUCC